AAACACUGAAAAUGGGAUUAAAGUUUUUCAAUGAUUUAUUUUAACUAUCAUUCCUAUUUUAAACCCUGUGUGUGAUUCAUCUCGAGAAUAUAUAUACUUGAAGCCAAGUGUCCCAAACUCAGUUCAAGCCCUUUAGCAGAGAACAGUCUUUACAAUGCUUUCCAAAGUUUUGAAUGUUUUGGCUUUUGCCGCUCUUUUAGGAUUGGCCUUGGGUAAGAAAACAUUAUCUUUUAUUUAUUUUCAACAUUAAAGUAACGUGUACUUGAGAGGGCGACAUUUCCUUCAUGUAGUCUAGAAAAAUGAAAUUGAUGACUAUUUUGAUUAAAUGAUAUUUUGAUAAAAAACUAUUGAUAAUAGUUUGAUGAUAUUUGAUUUAAAACUAUUAUUUUUUUGCAAAAAUUUUAAUCAAGCUCUCCACUUUGUUCGUAGGCUAAUUAAUAUAUUAUUUUUAUCAAAAUUAUGUUAAUAUUAUUUUGCAAAAAUUGUUUUCUAAUCGCAUUAUUUUUUGUUACAGCUGAACGUAAGUUAAUUUACAUGCUUAUACUCAAUGAUCUUACCUCUUAACGCCAUUAAUGUUUUAAAUCAUCUUUAGUGCAUCUACUAUUAAUAUGUAAAACAAAAUCAAUGAAAUCUUCAGAGUUGAAAAGUCAAUAAUGCUGAAUAAAAAAGAAUGAAUUAAUUUAAAAUUAUUUGAAAAGCAUUAUAUUUAAUUUAAAACUAAACGUUCAAUAUUUUGAAAAUAAUAUUUUUAAAAUUACUUAAAAAGUAAAAAUUUUGAAAAUGAUUCAAACAUAACUUAUAUGAAUCAUUUAUAAACUCAAAGGCUAUAUUACUAUUUAAUUUAUCCAUGAAUGUGUAAAGUAUAUUAUUUAUAUUUGAAAUAUUCGCAGAAUUCUCUCAUAAUGGCAUUAAUUAUUUUUAUUACAGCGGAACGUAAGAAAUGUUUCAUUAUUUUAUAUACAUAAGCAUUUUAGUAACAUUUUUCUUUUUCAAAGAUGAUGUGUUAUAAAAAAUUUAAAAAAAAAGAAAUUAAUAAAAUUUUCUCUUAAAAAUAGGAAAUAAUAAGAUAUAUGCUCUUUUGUUGCAAAAAAAUUAAACAUUAUUUAAACAUAAAAUGUCAAUACUUACAUUUUUUUUGAAAAGAUAUAUAUUUUUUAUUCUUAAUUAUAAUUGAUAAUUUUCGAUAUCCUGAAAAUGCAUAAUUUUUAGACCUAAAUUUAUAUUGAAUUCUAUGAAUAAUAUUGUAAUUUUGAUAAAUUUAAUCAUUUGUUAAGAAAAUUUCUUUCAAAUAUAGAACUGUUUUUCAUUUCAGUAAUAUUAAACUAUUCAACAAAAGCAGAAAAUAUUUGAAAUAAACUCCUGCAGAUUAUUUCCUUGAAUUGUCAAAUAAACAUCAUAGUUAUAAAUAAUAUGUGUUUUUUCGUAUUUUUCAGCCGGUCACAAUGGCAAUAUAUUUGAUGAUGCCGCCAGUGUUUUGGACAACUUCUUCGGAACAGGAUAAAUUUCACGGACAUUCUUUAGAAUGAGUUUACUGACAACAGCAAUUAUGGAUACGACUGAUUGAAUCAUAUAUUGCAAUAAUAUAAUAAUAAUAAUAGAAUAAAUAAUAUAUAAAAAAAACUCUUAAGAGUGACUUCAUAUCAUUACUAUGAAUAUAAAUUUUUUUAUUGGUAAAAAGAGAAAACAAAUAACUUUCAACAACACUUCUCCAUAUCUAAAAGAGCGCUUCGAAGAAUAUUUGUUUGCAUGCGUUUUUUUUCCUUCUUAUUUGUGUGUGUGUGUUAGGAUUUGCAUUAAAGAACGAAAACCUUCUGUACUCUGUCCUCAUUCUAUAUAAGUGACUUAGAAUAAUAUGUUCUACAGACUUAAUUCCUUGCCAUUUGCUCUUUAUUUUUAUUGUUGUUGUUGCUGUUGUUGAAAAUAAAAUACCACAUAAUCAAUCAUA